ACUACUAACUAAAAGUAAGUCAUGGACAGGACUUAAAACGGCAGGAGGCUAGGCAGCAGAGACUGCUUGGAUAGCAAUCCCUGAGGUUAAGAAGGCCAGUCUAGAAGCCCAGCAGGGAGCAUGGCUCCUGGGCCCCCAGUGGCCCCUGUCCCCCAGGAAUCAGUGACCUUCCAGGACAUGGCCAUGGACUUCUCCUUAGAAGAGUGGGAACAGCUGGGCCCUUCUCAGAAGGAGCUGUAUUGGAAGGUGAUGUUGGAGAACUACAGGAACCUCAUCAGCCUGGGCCUGGCCAUUUCCAACCCAGACCUGAUCUGCAAGUUGGAGAGAGGGAAAGCCCUUUGGAUGCCAGAGGGAGAUGUCCCCCAGUGCAGCUGUGCACAUUCAGAGGUUAUCCUUGAACUCAAGAAGUCAGCUUCAAAACUUGGCACUUCUUCAGAAGAAUCAUCAACUAAACAGCUCACAAAGGAUGAUCUCUGUUUCUUCAAGUGGGAAGAAGCUUCAGAGCCUAGUGCCAGAUUAAAAAGGAACUAGUGAUGAGGAGAUCCAGUCUAGGCAGGUAGAAGUCCUCCUAAGGAAAAUUCCUAACAAAGUGAGAGGCCAUGAAAAAAACAAACAUGGCUUAAUUUUCAGUCUAGGGCCAAUGCUUUUUCUUCAAUGGACGGUGUUUGUAGGAAAGAGUUCUCUGUAAAUAUGAUCCCCAGAACAGGCAUUUCAGAGUCUACUCAGAACUAUAUAAAUGUAACAGAAUCUGCUCCAGGAAGCGAUAUCCUAGGUAAUGCAUGUGUCAUAUAUUUACAUUAUAAUAUCCUUCUGGUUAUCUUGGGAUGUGUUAUUAAAAGAAACAAUGUAAUGAACAUGAGAACCCUUUUAAUUCACCUGUCACAUCUCACAGAGUUCGUACUGGAGAGAAACUCCAUAAAUGUGAUGAAUAUGGGAAGGCUUUGCCUUCCUUGAGCCUUUGUUCACAACUGACUGCACAUCAUAGAAUUCAUAACAGAAAGAAACCGUAUAGGUGUGAUGAAUGUGGGAAGGCCUUUAUUCAGUGCUCACAUCAUGAUGUACACCAGAGAAAUCAUACUGGAGAAAAACCUUAUAAAUGUAAAGAAUGUGGGAAGAUCUUUAGAUGGAUCACAGGACUUACUCAGCAUCAGAGAAUCCAUGGUGGAGAGAAACUUUAUGAAUGCAAUGAGUAUGGGAAGGUCCUCACACAGAGCUCACAAUGUAUUCAACAUCAGAAAAUUCAUACUGAAGAGAAUCAUUAUGAACGUAAAGAAUGUGAGAAAGUCUUCAGCCAGAGGUCUCAACUCAUUAUACAUCAGAGAAUUCAUACUGGAUAGAAAAUAUGAAUGUUGGAAGGUCUUCAAAUGGCACUCACACCUUACUAAGCACCAGAGAAUUCACCCUGGAGAGAAACCUUAUGAAUGUGGUGAAUGUGGGAAAGCCUUCAGUUUCAGAAGAGACCUUCCCGUACAUCAGAGAGUACAGUACAUACUGGAGAAAAACCAUAAAUGUAAUGAAUGUGGGGAGGCUUUAAGACAGAUCUCUCAUUUUAAAGUACAUCAGACAAUUCAUACUAGAAAGAAGUUGUAUAAAUGUAAUGAAUGUAGAAAGACCUUUAGGUAGAGAUUAGAAUGUACUCUCCAUUAGAAAUCUCAUAUGGGUGAAAAACCUUAUGAAUUUGAUAAACGUGGGAAUGUUUUUACACAGAGCUCACAAUAUACUCAGCAUCAAAGAAUUCAUGCUAGGGAGAGGCAUUAUAAAUGUAAAGAAUGUGAGAAAGUCUUCAGCUAGAAGUCUCAACUCAUUCGUACUGGAGAGAAAAUUUACGAAUGCAGUGAAUGUAGGAAGGUCUUCAUGUACCAUUCAUACCUUAUUCAGCAUCAGAGAAUUCAACACCAGAGAGAAACAUCAUGAGUGUGAUAAAUGUGGGAAAGCCUUCAGUUUCAGAACAGUCCUUACUGUAUAUCAGAGAGUGCAUUCUAGAGGAAAACCAUAUAAAUGUAAUGAAUGUGGGAAGGCUUUCAAACAGAGUUUGUAGUUUAAUGUACAACAGAUAAUUCAUAAGAGAGAGAAAUCUUAUGAAUGUAAUGAAUGUGGAAAGACCUUCAGAUGGAAGUCAGAACUUAUUCUACAUCAGAGAAUUCAUAUUGAUGAGAAACCUCAUGAAUGUAAUAAGUGUGGGGAUGCCUUCAGCCAGAGGUCAAAACUUACUCUUCAUCGGAGGAUUCACGCUAGAGAGAAAUGUUAAAAAAGAAUGUAAAGACUAAAGAGGUUGUGAAGGACAGCACCACAUUUACAGUAUAUCAGGUGCUUCUCAGAACCACUGAAUAUCAGUGUUGGAAGGUCUACCCAGCACACUGCAUCUAGUCCUCUUUUGCUUGUUCCUGGAACUCAGCGUGUGAGUCAUCCUCUCUCUAAGGCAUCUGCAGUCUCUCUCCCCUGACUCUUUUCCAACUCUCUAAAAAUAUUUAAUCAUAGGGUUCUAAGUGUAGAACUGGAAUUUACCUCAGACCUUUAAGUUCAACCCUUCAUUUUACACAUGAAGAACCUGAGGACUGUGAACAUCAAGUGACUUGCCCAAGUUACACAGAUCUUAAAAAAAGCUACUGUUUUCCCUCUACCCAUGGUUUCUAUUCCAACUGGUCUCCUCAAGCUUCUCUAACUGUUGUCAGACCUCCUAAUUAACAAAUAAAAGAGAUUUUUGUUUGAUCCUUAUAAAAAGGUAUUGUUGGUACAGGCUUCAUGGGAAGGUGGCUUUAGAAUUGGUUUUUAAGGGAUGGGGAGUGAUUCUAUAAGUAAAAAGAAGGAGCAGUGUGUGAAUUAAGGCUGAAAGGGGCAUUUCAUGUGUGGAGAGCAGGAAGUUUAUU